ACAGCAGGUACCACUGUAGCAAUCGGAAAGUGAAGUCACUGGGAGGAAAACAGGCACCACGGGCGUAGCCCCUGGCACAACUGUUGCCCCAGGAAGUUCCAAAACAGAGGCCACGACGUCCCUUGGGGAAAGCAAAGCAACUGGAAUUGGGAUAGCAACAGGUGAGUAUCACAUACUGGUACUUGUCCCUCAUAAUAACAGCGGAGAAACACACACACACACACACACACACACACACACACACCCCAGGUCUUACACAACUCUCUUUAUUGCAUUAGUCUAAAAAACACUUCACCAGACCACCUUGAAGACAAAUUAAUGACACAUAAAUAGUUAUGUGGAGAGAAAUUCUACUCUCUUCUCCAAAAUAAGACGUGUGAUACUUAAGUCAGAAAGGAGUUAUAGAAAUAUUUUCACAUGAGGAGCUUAAGGAUGAAUGAAGGAACUAAAAGUUGAAUCUCGGUGUUGCAUGGAGACUUUAGGUUCCUGUUUAAAACAGGAUGUGAGCAGGCAAUUGAAUUUGUGACAAGUGCCCCUUUCCUGUAGGUACUACUGGUAUAGUGUCUGGGAAAACUCUGGAGCCUGGAACCCGCAACACAGGUAAGUCUGAAAAUACAAGCACAGACUAGACUUUGGCUUCUUACAUAAUAUAUUACGUCAACAUGUAGUAUGAAUUUCCCAAAUCCUGGACCUUACUCCUCCCCUUUUUUCCUCUGUUAGCGGCCACAACUACCAUGGUUGAAACGGGGACUACCGCAGCAGGGCUUCCAGGAGGUGAGCUAAUUAAAUCUGAGGCCUCUUCUCCUUUGAAUAGAUUCUCUCCUAGUGUGGCUAAGGGGAAACCAUAAGUGGGAAGGUGAGCAAGGAAAUAUGCCCACAUUCCAUCCAGGAACAGAAUAUGCCAAGGCACGAAACGGAGUCACCCUAGGAAUUCUCUGGCCACACGUGACUCUGUCAUUGUUUUCAGAGGCCCAGGCUUGCAAAGCAAGUGCUUGGAUGGCAGUGAUGUGGGCCACCUACAAGCAAGCCCCUGUGUACCAAAGCCCCUUUUGUUACCUAUGAUUUCCCAUAGUACUCAUUAAGAGAUAUCAAACUGACUUAUUUUUCACAUAUAUUAAUCACUGUUGGUCCCUAGCUACCAGAAUAUAGCCACAUAAUGGAGAAUUCUUUAAAUAUUCUAUUCACGACACACGCAAAGGCCUAAACAAUAAUGUAGAGAAGACUUGCUUAAUAAAUUUCAGUGGAACGAAGA